rnacentral:rRNA from 1 species
CAAAAACAUAGCUUUAUGAAAAUUUAUAUAAAGUUUUACCUGCUCAAUGAUAAUUUAAAUGGCCGCAGUACUUUGACUGUGCUAAGGUAGCAUAAUAAAUUGACUUUUAAUUUAGGUCUAGAAUGAAAGGAUAUAUGAAUAUUUACUGUCUUUAAAAAAUUAAUAUUAACUUUCUUAAAAGGUGAAAAUUCCUUUAAGUAAAUUUAAAAGACGAGAAGACCCUAGGAGUUUAAAAUAAAUAAUUAUUUUUGUUGGGGCAACAUUAUAGUAAUUAAACCUAUAAUUUAAUAUGAAUUAUAAAACUAUAUUUUUAAUUGUAAAUAAGCUACCCUAGGGAUAACAGCAUAAUUUAUAUUAUUGAUAAGUUUGUGACCUCGAUGUUGGAUUAGGGACUGUUAGUAAUAAGUUUACCUAUUGACUUGUUCUGUUCGAACAUUUUAUACCUACGUGNNNNNNNNNAUAGUGGGG